rnacentral:rRNA from 1 species
AGCGAACGCUGGCGGCAGGCCUAACACAUGCAAGUCGAACGAACUCUUCGGAGUUAGUGGCGGACGGGUGAGUAACACGUGGGAACGUGCCUUUUGGUUCGGAAUAACUCAGGGAAACGUGUGCUAAUACCGAAUGUGCCCUUCGGGGGAAAGAUUUAUCGCCAUUAGAGCGGCCCGCGUCUGAUUAGCUAGUUGGUGAGGUAACGGCUCACCAAGGCGACGAUCAGUAGCUGGUCUGAGAGGAUGACCAGCCACACUGGGACUGAGACACGGCCCAGACUCCUACGGGAAGCAGCAGUGGGGAAUCUUGCGCAAUGGGCGAAAGCCUGACGCAGCCAUGCCGCGUGAAUGAUGAAGGUCUUAGGAUUGUAAAAUUCUUUCACCCGGGACGAUAAUGACGGUACCCGGAGAAGAAGCCCCGGCUAACUUCGUG